rnacentral:rRNA from 1 species
GACGAACGCUGGCGGCGUGCUUAACACAUGCAAGUCGAACGGAAAGGCCCUGCUUUUGUGGGGUGCUCGAGUGGCGAACGGGUGAGUAACACGUGAGUAACCUGCCCUUUACUUUGGGAUAACUUCAGGAAACUGGGGCUAAUACCGGAUAUGAGCUCCUUCUGCAUGGUGGGUGUUGGAAAGUUUCGGCGGUUGGGGAUGGACUCGAGGCUUAUCAGCUUGUUGGUGGGGUAGUGGCUUACCAAGGCUUUGACGGGUAGCCGGCCUGAGAGGGUGACCGGGCACAAUGGGACUGAGAUACGGCCAAGAGGCAAACGGGAGGAAGGAGUGGGGAAUAUUGCACAAUGGGCGGAAGCAGGAUGGAGGAACGCCGCGUGCGGGAUGACGGCCUUCGGGGUGUAAACUGCUUUCGACUGUGAAGAAGAGUGAGUGACGGUAAUGGGUAAAGAAGCAACGGCUAACUACGUG